rnacentral:rRNA from 1 species
GUCCCCUUCGGGGGACGAGUAGAGUGGCGUCCGGGUGAGUAACACGUGAGUAAUUUGCCUUCGGGUGGGGAAUAACAGCCGGAAACGGCUGCUAAUACCGCAUGAUGCAGCGGCACCUCAUGGUGACAGUUGUUAAAGCGGGGGAUCGCAAGACCUCGCGCCUGAAGAGAAGCUCGCGGCAGAUUAGCUAGUUGGUAGGGUAACGGCCUACCAAGGCUACGAUCUGUAGCCGGCCUGAGAGGGCGGUCGGCCACACUGACACUGACACACGGGUCAGACUCCUACGGGAGGCAGCAGUCGGGAAUUUUGGGCAAUGGGCGAAAGCCUGACCCAGCAACGCCGCGUGAAGGAUGAAGUUUUUCGGAAUGUAAACUUCACAAGAAUGGGAAGAAUAAGUGGGGGCUAAUACCCCCCAUGAUGACGGUACCAUUUGUAAGCUCCGGCUAACUCCGUGCCAGCAGCCGCGGUAAUACGGGGGGAGCAAGCGUUGUUCGGAUUUACUGGGCGUAAAGGGCGCGUAGGCGGCGCAACAAGUCAGUUGUGAAAUCUCUGGGCUUAACCCAGAGCGGUCAACUGAUACUGUCGUGCUAGAGUGCGGAAGGGGCAACUGGAAUUCUCGGUGUAGCGGUGAAAUGCGUAGAUAUCGAGAGGAACACCUGCGGCGAAGGCGGGUUGCUGGGCCGACACUGACGCUGAGGCGCGAAAGCUAGGGGAGCGAACGGGAUUAGAUACCCCGGUAGUCCUAGCCUUAAACGAUGGAUGCUUGGUGUCCGGGGUUAGAUAGUCCCCGGGUG